rnacentral:rRNA from 1 species
CAUGCAGUCGAACGGAGAAUCAGCAAUGGUUCUUAGUGGCGAACGGGUGAGUAACGCGUAGACAACCUGCCUCAAAGAUGGGGACAACACCGCGAAAGUGGUGCUAAUACCGAAUGUUGCAUUGGAUUCGCAUGAAUCUGAUACUAAAGGUGGCCUCUUUAAAUGCUACCGCUUUGAGAUGGGUCUGCGUCUGAUUAGCUAGUUGGUGAGGUAACAGCUCACCAAGGCGAUGAUCAGUAGCCGGUCUGAGAGGAUGAACGGCCACACUGGGACUGAGACACGGCCCAGACUCCUACGGGAGGCAGCAGUGGGGAAUCUUCCGCAAUGGACGAAAGUCUGACGGAGCAACGCCGCGUGAGUGAAGAAGGUUUUCGGAUCGUAAAGCUCUGUCUUUGGGGACGAAUGUGCUUAAUGUAAAUAAUGUUAAGUAAUGACGGUACUCGAGGAGGAAGCCACGGCUAACUACGUGCCAGCAGCCGCGGUAAUACGUAGGUGGCAAGCGUUGUCCGGAAUUAUUGGGCGUAAAGCGCGCGCAGGCGGGAUAUUAAGUCUGUCUUAAAAGUUCGGGGCUCAACCCCGUGAUGGGAUAGAAACUAAUAUUCUUGAGUGCAGGAGAGGAAAGUGGAAUUCCCAGUGUAGCGGUGAAAUGCGUAGAUAUUGGGAGGAACACCAGUGGCGAAGGCGACUUUCUGGACUGUGUCUGACGCUGAGGCGCGAAAGCCAGGGGAGUGAACGGGAUUAGAUACCCCGGUAAUCCUGGCCGUAAACGAUGGGUACUAGGUGUAGGAGGUAUCGACCCCUUCUGUGCCGGAGUUAACGCAAUAAGUACCCCGCCUGGGGAGUACGGCCGCAAGGUUGAAACUCAAGGAAUUUGACGGGGGCCCGCACAAGCGGUGGAGUAUGUGGUUUAAUUCGACGCAACGCGAAGAACCUUUACCAGGACUUGACAUCGAUUGAAAGUUCUAGAGAUAGAACCCUUCUCUUCGGA